rnacentral:rRNA from 1 species
UACAGAGGGGGCAAGCGUUGAUCGGAAUUACUGGGCGUAAAGGGCGCGUAGGCGGCCGCCUAAGUCAGACGUGAAAUCCCUCGGCUCAACCGGGGAACUGCGUCUGAUACUGGGUGGCUUGAAUCCGGGAGAGGGAUGCGGAAUUCCAGGUGUAGCGGUGAAAUGCGUAGAUAUCUGGAGGAACACCGGUGGCGAAGGCGGCAUCCUGGACCGGCAUUGACGCUGAGGCGCGAAAGCCAGGGGAGCAAACGGG